rnacentral:rRNA from 1 species
UACGUAGGGGGCGAGCGUUAUCCAGAUUUACUGGGCGUAAAGCGCGUGUAGGCGGCUGGUUAGGUGUGAUGUGAAAUCCUCGGGCUCAACCCGAGAACUGCAUUGCAAACCGGCCUGGCUAGAGUGCAGGAGAGGGAAGCGGAAUUCCAGGUGUAGCGGUGAAAUGCGUAGAUAUCUGGAGGAACGCCAGUGGCGAAGGCGGCUUCCUGGCCUGUUCUUGACGCUGAGGCGCGAAAGCUAGGGGAGCAAACGGG